rnacentral:lncRNA from 1 species
GGUCGGGCCUCUCACGGGGACGCUCCCGCCACUGUGAUAAAGAGGAGAAAACGUCACAGGGGAAGGGCCUGACCCUGCUGCAUCCAGUAAGGAAACAGCCACAGGGAAGGGACCCCGUAAGCCACUUUGGGAGCCACAUCCACCACUUCUCUGACCCCACGCAGGCUGCUUCCCAGGCCUCAUGGUACUAGUGUGGACCUCCUGGCUGUGAUUAACGCAGUUUUUUAGAUUAAGUACUGCACGACUACUCGCUUCUGAAACUGUCAUAAGAAACUGCCUCAGCUCCCUGCAGGGUGGACACACAAGAGCAGAAUCUCCGUGGGACAUCUCUUUGGAGCAUCAAUAUUACUACAGUAUUUGGAAGACACAAAUUUAAAUAAUUUCUAAGGUAAAGAAUGGAACAUUUAAGACAAGGCUGGAAAGUCAUCUGCCUUUAAUAACUCAUCUGUGCCUCACAUGUCAGACUUCCUCCAAGAAAAAAACUAAGGAGAACUUAUUUCCAUUCUUAUAAGUAGUAAAAAUAAUAAAUCAUAUCAAG